GGUCAAGUGAAGAAGCGCAUACGGUGGAUGCCUUGGCAGUCAGAGGCGAUGAAAGACGUGGUAGCCUGCGAAAAGCUUCGGGGAGUCGGCAAACAGACUUUGAUCCGGAGAUCUCUGAAUGGGGGAACCCACCUAGGAUAACCUAGGUAUCUUGUACUGAAUCCAUAGGUGCAAGAGGCGAACCAGGGGAACUGAAACAUCUAAGUACCCUGAGGAAAAGAAAUCAACCGAGAUUCCCUUAGUAGUGGCGAGCGAACGGGGAUUAGCCCUUAAGCUUCAUUGAUUUUAGCGGAACGCUCUGGAAAGUGCGGCCAUAGUGGGUGAUAGCCCCGUACGCGAAAGGAUCUUUGAAGUGAAAUCGAGUAGGACGGAGCACGAGAAACUUUGUCUGAACAUGGGGGGACCAUCCUCCAAGGCUAAAUACUACUGACUGACCGAUAGUGAACCAGUACCGUGAGGGAAAGGCGAAAAGAACCCCGGAGAGGGGAGUGAAAUAGAACCUGAAACCGUAUGCGUACAAGCAGUGGGAGCCUACUUGUUAGGUGACUGCGUACCUUUUGUAUAAUGGGUCAGCGACUUAUAUUCAGUGGCAAGCUUAACCGUAUAGGGUAGGCGUAGCGAAAGCGAGUCUUAAUAGGGCGUUUAGUCGCUGGGUAUAGACCCGAAACCGGGCGAUCUAUCCAUGAGCAGGUUGAAGGUUAGGUAACACUGACUGGAGGACCGAACCCACUCCCGUUGAAAAGGUAGGGGAUGACUUGUGGAUCGGAGUGAAAGGCUAAUCAAGCUCGGAGAUAGCUGGUUCUCCUCGAAAGCUAUUUAGGUAGCGCCUCAUGUAUCACUCUGGGGGGUAGAGCACUGUUUCGGCUAGGGGGUCAUCCCGACUUACCAAACCGAUGCAAACUCCGAAUACCCAGAAGUGCCGAGCAUGGGAGACACACGGCGGGUGCUAACGUCCGUCGUGAAAAGGGAAACAACCCAGACCGCCAGCUAAGGUCCCAAAGUUGUGGUUAAGUGGUAAACGAUGUGGGAAGGCUUAGACAGCUAGGAGGUUGGCUUAGAAGCAGCCACCCUUUAAAGAAAGCGUAAUAGCUCACUAGUCGAGUCGGCCUGCGCGGAAGAUGUAACGGGGCUCAAACCACACACCGAAGCUGCGGGUGUCACGUAAGUGACGCGGUAGAGGAGCGUUCUGUAAGCCUGUGAAGGUGAGUUGAGAAGCUUGCUGGAGGUAUCAGAAGUGCGAAUGCUGACAUGAGUAACGACAAUGGGUGUGAAAAACACCCACGCCGAAAGACCAAGGGUUCCUGCGCAACGUUAAUCGACGCAGGGUUAGUCGGUUCCUAAGGCGAGGCUGAAAAGCGUAGUCGAUGGGAAACAGGUUAAUAUUCCUGUACUUCUGGUUACUGCGAUGGAGGGACGGAGAAGGCUAGGCCAGCUUGGCGUUGGUUGUCCAAGUUUAAGGUGGUAGGCUGAAAUCUUAGGUAAAUCCGGGGUUUCAAGGCCGAGAGCUGAUGACGAGUCGUCUUUUAGAUGACGAAGUGGUUGAUGCCAUGCUUCCAAGAAAAGCUUCUAAGCUUCAGGUAACCAGGAACCGUACCCCAAACCGACACAGGUGGUCGGGUAGAGAAUACCAAGGCGCUUGAGAGAACUCGGGUGAAGGAACUAGGCAAAAUGGCACCGUAACUUCGGGGGAGAGGUGCGCCGGCUAGGGUGAAGGAUUUACUCCGUAAGCUCUGGCUGGUCGAAGAUACCAGGCCGCUGCGACUGUUUAUUAAAAAACAGCACUCUGCAAACACGAAAGUGGACGUAUAGGUGUGACGCCUGCCCGGUGCCGGAAGGUUAAUUGAUGGGGUUAGCGCAAGCGAAGCUCUUGAUCGAAGCCCCGGUAAACGGCGGCCGUAACUAUAACGGUCCUAAGGUAGCGAAAUUCCUUGUCGGGUAAGUUCCGACCUGCACGAAUGGCGUAACGAUGGCGGCGCUGUCUCCACCCGAGACUCAGUGAAAUUGAAAUCGCUGUGAAGAUGCAGUGUAUCCGCGGCUAGACGGAAAGACCCCGUGAACCUUUACUGUAGCUUUGCACUGGACUUUGAGCCUGCUUGUGUAGGAUAGGUGGGAGGCUUUGAAGCGUGGACGCCAGUUCGCGUGGAGCCAUCCUUGAAAUACCACCCUGGCAUGCUUGAGGUUCUAACUCUGGUCCGUAAUCCGGAUCGAGGACAGUGUAUGGGUGGGCAGUUUGACUGGGGCGGUCUCCUCCUAAAGAGUAACGGAGGAGUACGAAGGUGCGCUCAGACCGGUCGGAAAUCGGUCGUAGAGUAUAAAGGCAAAAGCGCGCUUGACUGCGAGGACAGACACGUCGAGCAGGUACGAAAGUAGGUCUUAGUGUUAUGGUGGUUCUGUAUGGAAGGGGCCAUCGCUCAACGGAUAAAAGGUACUCCGGGGAUAACAGGCUGAUACCGCCCAAGAGUUCAUAUCGACGGCGGUGUUUGGCACCUCGAUGUCGGCUCAUCACAUCCUGGGGCUGAAGCCGGUCCCAAGGGUAUGGCUGUUCGCCAUUUAAAGUGGUACGCGAGCUGGGUUUAGAACGUCGUGAGACAGUUCGGUCCCUAUCUGCCGUGGACGUUUGAGAUUUGAGAGGGGCUGCUCCUAGUACGAGAGGACCGGAGUGGACGAACCUCUGGUGUUCCGGUUGUCACGCCAGUGGCAUUGCCGGGUAGCUAUGUUCGGAAAAGAUAACCGCUGAAAGCAUCUAAGCGGGAAACUUGCCUCAAGAUGAGAUCUCACUGGGAACUUGAUUCCCCUGAAGGGCCGUCGAAGACUACGACGUUGAUAGGCUGGGUGUGUAAGCGUUGUGAGGCGUUGAGCUAACCAGUACUAAUUGCCCGUGAGGCUUGACCAU
rnacentral:rRNA from 1 species